GGGGCUGUUUUGGUUUCGACGGAUAUGAAAAAGCCUAAUUCGGCAAGUCGUAGGUACACGUUACGUACAAACAGAAAAUAACUGGAAAAAAUAAAUUAACUAACAUUCUUAGUAGAUUAAGUAGCGCUUUCGCUACUCCUACUUUUGCCUAAGAUAAGUGCAGGAAUGGCUCUUCUUUUUCUUUCUCCUAUUGGGAAUUUGUAAGGGCUCGAAUAAAUAGGAUAUAUUAUUAUUUAGCUUGGAAAUAAUAAUGAAUCUCACAAGCUUACUUAUAAAAUAGGUGUCCAUUACUAAUUUUUAUAAGGAAAUAUUCAAUGGACUAAACUUGUAGAUGGUUAGGGAGUUUUAUAUUCGGACAGGAGUUCAAUUCUCCUCAGCUCCACCA
rnacentral:sRNA from 1 species